rnacentral:rRNA from 1 species
AGAGUUUGAUCCUGGCUCAGGAUGAACGCUGGCGGCGUGCUUAACACAUGCAAGUCGAGCGGAAAUAUUUUAAAUGAAGGCUUCGGUUGGUUUAGCGGCGGACGGGUGAGUAACGUGUGGGUAACCUGCCAUAUACUGGGGAAUAAUCAUUUGAAAAGAUGACUAAUACCGCAUGUCGUCACUAAGGGGCAUCUCUUGGUGAAAAAAGGAGUAAUCCGGUAUAUGAUGGACCCGCAUCUGAUUAGCUAGUUGGUGAGAUAACAGCUCACCAAGGCGACGAUCAGUAGCCGACCUGAGAGGGUGAUCGGCCACAUUGGGACUGAGACACGGCCCAAACUCCUACGGGAGGCAGCAGUGGGGAAUAUUGCACAAUGGGCGAAAGCCUGAUGCAGCAACGCCGCGUGAAGGAAGAAGGGUUUCGGCUCGUAAACUUCUAUCAAUGGGGAAGAAACAAAUGACGGUACCCAAAUAAGAAGCCCCGGCUAACUACGUGCCAGCAGCCGCGGUAAUACGUAGGGGGCAAGCGUUAUCCGGAAUUACUGGGCGUAAAGCGCACGUAGGCGGCCUUGUAAGUCAGGGGUGAAAUCCCACGGCUCAACCGUGGAACUGCCUUUGAAACUGCAGGGCUUGAAUCCUGGAGAGGGUGGCGGAAUUCCUGGUGUAGAGUGAAAUCCGUAGAUAUCANGAGGAACACCGGUGGCGAAAGCGGCCACCUGGACAGGUAUUGACGCUGAGUGCGAAAGUGUGGGGAGCAAACAGGAUUAGAUACCCUGGUAGUCCACACCGUAAACGAUGGAUACUAGUGUCGGGGACUUGAUCUUCGUGCCGUAGCUAACGCGUUAAGUAUCCCGCCUGGGGAGUACGGUCGCAAGGCUGAAACUCAAAGAAAUUGACGGGGGCCCGCACAGCCGUUGGA